CCUACGGGAGGCUGCAGUAGGGAAUAUUGCGCAAUGGGGGAAACCCUGAAGCAGCAACGCCGCGUGGGGGAUGAAGGUUUUCGGAUUGUAAACCCCUUUUGUUAGAGAAGAUAAUGACGGUAUCUAACGAAUAAACACCGGCUAACUCCGUGUCAGCAGCCGCGGUAAUACGGAGGGGGCAAGCGUUACUCGGAAUCACUGGGCGUAAAGAGCGCGUAGGCGGGUUAGCAAGUCAGAUGUGAAAUCCUAUGGCUUAACCAUAGAGGGGCAUUUGAAACUGUUAUUCUUGAGUAUGGGAGAGGUAAGUGGAAUUCUUGGUGUAGGGGUAAAAUGCGUAGAUAUCAAGAGGAAUACUCAUUGCGAAGGCGACCUGCUAGAACAUAACUGACGCUGAUGCGCGAAAGCGUGGGGAGCAAACAGGAUUAGAUACCCCAGUAGUC
rnacentral:rRNA from 1 species